rnacentral:rRNA from 1 species
GACGAACGCUGGCGGCGUGCCUAAUACAUGCAAGUUGAGCGCUGAAGGUUGGUACUUGUACCAACUGGAUGAGCAGCGAACGGGUGAGUAACGCGUGGGGAAUCUGCCUUUGAGCGGGGGACAACAUUUGGAAACGAAUGCUAAUACCGCAUAAAAACUUUAAACACAAGUUUUAAGUUUGAAAGAUGCAAUUGCAUCACUCAAAGAUGAUCCCGCGUUGUAUUAGCUAGUUGGUGAGGUAAAGGCUCACCAAGGCGAUGAUACAUAGCCGACCUGAGAGGGUGAUCGGCCACAUUGGGACUGAGACACGGCCCAAACUCCUACGGGAGGCAGCAGUAGGGAAUCUUCGGCCAUGGACGAAAGUCUGACCGAGCAACGCCGCGUGAGUGAAGAAGGUUUUCUGAUCGUAAAACUCUGUUGGUAGAGAAGAACGUUGGUGAGAGUGGAAAGCUCAUCAAGUGACGGUAACUACCCAGAAAGGGACGGCUAACUACGUG